GUAGUCAACCUGCCCUGGAGAUGCGGACAAACCCGGGAAACUGGGGCCUAUCCGCGAUAGAUGGCCUCAUCUGGAAGGAGAGGCCGUCCAAAAGGGCGCACGGGUAUGCUCUGUGCGAACCGCUCCAGGAUGGGACUGCGGCCGAUCAGGCUGUUGGCGGGGCAAUGGCCCACCAAACCUGUAACCGGUACGGGCUUUGAGAGAAGGAGCCCGGAGAUGGACACUGAGACAAGGGUCCAGGCCCUACGGGGCGCAUCAGGCGCGAAAACUUCGCAAUGCGCGAAAGCGUGACGAGGCUAGUCCGAGUGCCGCCUGCUAAAGGUGGCUUUUCUCGGCUGUAAAUAGGCCGGGGAAUAAGGGGAGGGCAAGUCUGGUGUCAGCCACCGCGGUAAUACCAGCUCCUCGAGUGGUCGGGACGAUUAUUGGGCCUAAAGCACCCGUAGCCGGUUUCGUAAGUCCUCUGUUAAAUCCAGUCGCUCAACGACUGGCCUGCAGAGGAUACUGCGGGACUAGGAGGCGGGAGAGGCGGACGGUACUCCGCGUGUAGGGGUAAAAUCCUUUGAUCCGCGGAAGACCACCAGUGGCGAAGGCGGUCCGCCAGAACGCGCUCGACGGUGAGGGGUGAAAGCUGGGGGAGCGAACCGGAUUAGAUACCCGGGUAGUCCCAGCCGUAAACGAUGCGAGCUAGAUGAUUCGAUCGCAGUUCGCGAUCGAAGUGUCGCAGGGAAGCCGUUAAGCUCGCCGCCUGGGGAGUACGGUCGCAAGGCUGAAUCGUAGAAGCUACUUCUUUCUACGCAGUUCACUUAAAGGAAUUGGCGGGGGAGCACCACAAGGGGUGAAGCCUGCGGUCAAUUGAGUCACGC
rnacentral:rRNA from 1 species